rnacentral:rRNA from 1 species
UGCCAGCCGCCGCGGUAAUACGGAGGGUGCGAGCGUUAAUCGGAGUGACUGGGCGUAAAGGGCGCGUAGGCGGUUUUGUUAGUCAGGCGUGAAAGCCCCGGGCUCAACCCGGGAACUGCGUUUGAUACUGCAAGACUUGAGGACGGAAGAGGAAAGUGGAAUUCCUAGUGUAGAGGUGAAAUUCGUAGAUAUUCGGAGGAACACCAGUGGCGAAGGCGGCUUUCUGGACCAAUACUGACGCUGAGAUGCGAAAGCGUGGGGAGCGAACAGGAUUAGAUA